GAUGAAAGGGGAGCGCACCGUGGGGUUUGGGUUGGGGAACGUAUGGACACCGCUACAGCGUCUGCACAGGGUCUAUUCCAACUGAGAGCGAAAACUGGAUUAAAUUUACUUUUGGAGCUUUGACUUUGUCUGGUCGAGCCGGAUUUAUCAAGGAAACAGUCUUGGCAUAACCAGCAGGAUCAGAUGACACAGGCGAACUCCUCGCUGGCCGCAGCAUUGUGCAACACCAGCCAGUGCUGUGUUUAUCGUCCUGGACUGUCGGGGGCGAGAGACGUCUCGUCCUGCACUGGAUUGGCGCAAAGAGAAAAAAAUGUCUUGUGCUUUGAUAAAAAUUAGGAUAAUUCAGGCCAAAAACACACAGACUAAAAAAUGUAAAAAGGUAGCGACAGCAGGGUGUGUCUCUGUCUCUCUCUCACCCAUCCCCUCUGUGAAAAAGCGUCCAGGCAAAGUGUUCCGUGGUCAGAGGAGGUGCGGGGAGGAUCGGGGUGUAAGAUGGACAGUAAGGGCGUUUGGGCUGAGAAGCACUGAGAGCGUAAAUCAGAAGUUUGAGCACGACAGGGGGGGUAAAAUGAGGAAAAACAGGGAAGCCGAUGGUGAGAGAGCGGUGUCCAAAUGUUCAGCUAAAGAAACUUCUGCUGUAAUUUCACAUACUUGACGCUAUAAAAAUAAGAGUCUGUUCAGAAAUCAGGGAAAAUGCAAAGGAAGGCUGCACAGAAGCUGAACUAGAAAUCAAUGUGACUGCAGAUUCAAAGAUUUGUUGAUAUUGUCUAAGAAAGGGAACAGAAAGAGGUGGAAAGUGGCACAAAAUUAUGCAACUGUCACGCUCAGAACAACAACAACAACAAAAAAGCAGAGCAGCCCACUUGUCGAAGCAUGUCCACAGAACAUUUUAUUCUCUCCUCUCGAGCCACGCCCCGGAACAAGCUCAGACCUCAGACGAGACACAGCACAUCGCCCUCCCUUCUUUCCCUCCAUGUUCCUUUUGUUUCCAGGAAGCAGCUGAAGGGAUAACACUUCACAUCAGACCUGUCUCACUCAUCUUCCUGUAUCUAUUUUUCCUUAGGUUCCCCCCCCUUCCGUGUCCACAGCAACACUGUUCCUCCGGUCACGGACAACGGCACGACAGCUCUAAACCAGACUAAAGCACCAAAACUGUCCAUUUUAAACAUCAAAGCACAGAAUGUGGCCUGUAAACAAAUACCAACCAAAUCGUUUGACUGCUGAUCCACCAAUCUUCUAUCAAAUUGAGUACAAAAACACAAAGUUGCAUGAAAAUUUGCUGCAGAAAGGCUCAGCCCUGCAACACUGAGAUAAAACCUGUUGCCAGUGGCAACAGUGCAGAGAUACAGUAGAUCACGAUGACACUGAUGCCACUGUGGACAUUAUAAAUAUCACCAAGUCUCUAAAACAAAAUUCCAUUUGAUUCUCAGAUGCUGUCUGACCUUAGAAGUAACAAAAACAUUGCCAAUGAUCAUCUCCAAUAUGGAAACUGACAUGUGAGUUUGGGCGAGAAUGAAGUCAAAAAUCCUCCAUCACAAGGCUAAAAUACAUGCAGUCAUCUCUUUGACUAUUUUUCUCUCUCUGUUAAAAUUCUUAAACUUCCCAAUACAGGCUUUGUGCAGAAACUAAGUUUCCCUGAGGUGGUGCAAAUGUUUGAUCAGGUUUUCCUUUAUUACACACAAAUGUGUUUUGCUGUACAUACAGUAUGUGUCUCUAAUUAAAAAGGGUUUAUUCUGAUAAGUAGAAAAGGCACCGAAACACUGAGCAGAGAUUAGUCUGUGCCUGGUACUGGUGACCCACAUCAUGCCACAUCAAGUAUGUAACUUUUAAACAGGACUGUGAUGCCAGUUUUUUGAUUUUUUAUUUAGUUCUAGACAGAACUGAGGAACUUUAAGCAACAACAUGUGAACUUUUCAACCCCAAAACUGAGCAGAAACAGCCCCUUUUCAAUUGAAACUGUUAAUCUCUGUGUGCUGAUUGUAUGUUAAACAAUGCAUGAUGGAAAAGAGGUCAAACUUUAUAUAUAUGUAUACACACACGUAUUAGGGUAAAUAGAAGCUUGGCCCGGUGUACUAAUCGAGCACUAAUGUGACUUAGCUACUGUAGCCAGGCAGCCCUUCAGCUGUGGAAGUAAGCACGCCUGGAUCCUGCACCAACACGACCCCCAGCCUGCUUGACUGUGCGACCCGAGGGCCACUGCUGAUUCAGGAUCUCUCCCCAUCCAGACUGUACGAUCACACAACAACUCAUGACUACUUGAAUCAACUCUGACCAGCAAAACAACACAAAAAAGGGUCAGAAACUCCACGAGCGAAUGAGGAGAUGGAGCAGCGACACAGUCUAGAAGAAGUUGCCCUUGAAGUGAACCUAAUCAAUGUCACGUUCAUUAGAAAAAAUGGAACGAAACUGUGUAGUAAGCAUUACUGAUGGAAAGCUGUUUGAGGUUUUAUUUCUGUCUUGUCAGGUUUGUUUGUCAUUAAAAUGCUUAAAUGAUUAAAUCUGUCUUAGCGCGGUCAGGACAAACUGAAAACAACAGUGUUUUUGUGUCCCUGUUAAUCUCUCUCUGUGUUGUAAGUCCAUUGUGGGAACUUUUCUUUCUUUGCAUGCAUGCUCUGUGUGAUGUUGUGUGUUUUGCCUCAUUUUACGUGUCACUAAAAUGCAGACGGGACCUUGAACAGAAAGGUUCACGAAUAAAAACGCUUGACUGUGUGUCUA